rnacentral:rRNA from 1 species
UACGUAGGGAGCAAGCGUUGUCCGGAAUCACUGGGCGUAAAGGGCUCGUAGGCGGUUUGAUAAGUCCUGUGUGAAAUCCCUUGGCUUAACCAAGGAACUGCGCCGGAUACUGUCGAACUAGAGGCCGGGAGAGGGAAGCGGAAUUCCGAGUGUAGCGGUGAAAUGCGUAGAUAUUCGGAGGAACACCGGUGGCGAAGGCGGCUUCCUGGACCGGUUCUGACGCUCAAAAGCGAAAGCUAGGGUAGCAAACAGG